AAACAACAUAGGAGAAUUUCCCCUUCCUUCCACUGGGUUCUUGAGAACAGUGCUAUGGCCAUUAAAGAGCAAGGCGGAAUAGAACAGGCAAACAAACCUCUCCUAGGUCUCCUAGGAUAACGACAGGGAAGACACCACGGAAACACCAACGUGGUGACACCUGCAGCCCCAGGGAUGCAAGCCAUCAUUGGUGACCUCAGGGAGGUUGCUCCCUGGACAGGAGAAGAAGGCCUUUCCAUCUUUUUUGAGCUGAAAUACCAAAAGAGGCCCCGAUGACUCUCGAAGCUUUUGGACAGAAGCUCCAAGUCCUAUUCCUCGAUGGCGUGGGAGGGAGCUGCAUCGAAUCGUAUUGAGGAGUUCAGUAGAAAGGAGCACCGUGGGCUCUGCUCCCAAGCGGCUUCUUUCCAGGUCUGUGUCCUGAAGUUCUUGAUGUGUGCAGUCUUUGCCCUCCCAUCCAGCUUCAGCCUGUAUCCUCACCACCCAGAACCCAGACAGACAGCAACCUCAACUCCCCCUACCCCCAGCCUGCCACAUUCUGUGACUGCAGCUAUGUGAGUUAGAAACUGCAUUUAGAUUUUACAACUAAAAAAUGGGAUGGACCACAUUUCUUUAGGAACAAUACUUGGCUACUCCCCAUUAGAAUGUUUUCACCAAAAGAUUGUUCUGAACUUCAAAAAAUUAAGCAUUUACUCAGCCCCUCCAACUUCUUUUCUAAUGCUUUUUAAAAAUAGACAGAGGGACCUCUGAAGGGAUGUCCACUCCAAUCCCCUUACUGGGAGGCCCAGAGCGAGUACAUGACCUCUCACCCUGGCCAUGAGGAUGCUGGAGUGAAGCCUGCAUUGGCCCAGCUGCCAACUCCUGCUCUGCCCAUCCUGGAGCCCUACACAGCUCCUCAGGCAACAGGACCACUGUUUUAAAGAAGCCUCAUUGUUCAAUAAUUUGGCAAAGUAGCCAGAUUAUCCAGGUGCCUGGGGUGUGGCAGAAAGAGCCCUGCACCAGCUGGCAGAAGGACUGGCCUUGAGACACCUGCUUGGUCCACUCUAGUGACUUUCUUGGGUAAGUCACAUGUCAGGGCAAGGACAGAAAGACCCACCAUACUGCACAGGUUUGGGGGAUGAGGAAAUCAUGCCUGCAGAAAUACCGUAUAAACCAUAAAGCAUCAUACAAACGUAAGGUUUUAUUUGUACUUCGUUCAAGGUAAACUAAGAUGGAAGGAGAACCCUUAGGCAGAUGGUAACAUUGGUCCAUCCCCUGGCACACCAUAAUCCACGGAAGAGUUCAUAAAUCUGCCACAUGCCAAAAUCAGGCUCAUCCAGGAAAGGAGCAGGAAGAACUUGCUUCCUCCCGUUCUGUAUCUACUGGACCUUGGAGGUGAUCCUGCAGCUGCACCUGCCCAGGCACCUGUGACUCAUGCUGCCUUGAGGUCCUCAUUCAGAGGGCCUCUACCUAGAGGGCAUUGCUGUGCCCGGCCCCUUGUCCCUCCUCACACCAGGUCUGUGCAGGGGCAUGAACACACCCAGCCCUGGGAGCCAUGACUUGGUCAUCGCGGCUUUCUGUGACUCCAGGAAUCACCCGGAAUUCACUCUAUACUUUAUGAAAACAGUGGUCCCCAGGAGGCACGCCCACAGUGGUGGAGUGGUACAACCUGUGAGCCAGAGUCAGAAUUCCUCUGCAGACUGGACCCACGUUGAGGCGCCUCAUAGAAGCACACACACAGGUGGAAGAGGUGAGUAGAACGCCCUUGGUCCAGGCUUCCCUUCUUCUAAUUAUCUGCUUAAUGGCAGGUGUGGAAGAUCAGCUGCAAAUGACUUUGAGUGGCCUCUCAAUAAACCAGAGGUCCGUAAGAAGAUGCAGUGCCAGGCUGUGCUUGAGUGAAGCAGGCGGGUGGCCAGAGAUGUGCAGGUGCUGACAUGAGGCCCUCUCGCCUGGGACAGUUUCCUGUGGUCAAGCCCCCCAGAUGCUGUAGCAGGGAGGCUACUGGACCCCGUGUGAAUUCCUGGGAGUGGGGGCACACCCCCUGUCAUUGCAGAAAUGACACUGGAGCUGUCCUGCCCAGCGCUAGACUGCAGCUCUGGCCUUUUGAAAGGUUCCAGCCUCAAGAUCAUCAUGUAAAUUUCUGGUGGCUUCUCAGUAGCUUUGGAAGAUCUUCAUUUCCUUUUGCUGAGUGUGCCAUUCUUUAGAUGGGGACAUUUCUUAAAGGGGGCAGCCGAAGGCCACCUGGAAGCUCACUCCGUAUUUGAAAUGGUGCUUCUUGAAGUUUCAUUAGGCUGUCCUCCAAUCUCCUUUCCAAAGGGACCUUGUGACCUUCCUCAAAAAACACCACUGGAAGUUUAGGCUUGACACAAUGCUGUACAAAGGAAGCAAGAGAGAUCAAGCAGCAGGGGUGCGGUGAGCGGCCUGGCCACAGCACCCACAGCAGGUGCAGCCCUGCCGACUGAGAUUUCCUGCCAGCAACCACAUGGCUUGUCCUCCCUGAGCCUUGCCAGCCGGUCGGCGUACAGCUGUGAGCCACGGCACACACAAGUGUCCUGAGAGGUUUUUCCUGGAUGAAAUUGGCAUAGAAUAUAUGGGCCUUUCUCUGAAAAUCUGACCUGAGUACUGUCCUCUCCUCUCCUCUCCUGUGCUUGGAGUUAUAGCAAAAUGGACGCUGCAUCCUUCCCAGCUGUUUCACAGGCAGAUGUAACAGUUGAUACAAGAAGAUUAAAAAAAAAUAGUCGGAUGUCUACAUUACAGAGAAGAGGGGGUCGAGUGAGGAGAGGCAGCACCGCAGUGUCUGGGCGAUCGCAUUACUGUGUCGUCAUCAGUUCUGGGUACAGGUCAGUAACUGUCUCUGCUUCCCCUCCUGAGCCUUCAACCACAUCCAAUUAGCACUGCCCUGCCGUGACGCAGCCUGCCUCUCUUAAUGAGAGCCCCGCUCCAGCGGAGCACGUGCAGUGAGAGGCUUCAGAAACAGGUGCCUUCCGCGGAGCUCGCGUGGGGCGGGCAGAGCAGGCCCUUCCGUCCAGCUCCAAACAGGCAGGCUGCAGCCUCUUGGAACCAGGACUUGGCUGGCAGGGGAUCAAUUAGGCCAUUCCGCUGUCCAUGGGCUUCCGCGUGGACAGGAGGGAAAGAGUGAAACCAGGUCUCGCCUCCCAGAGUGAAGCCCCCUCCUGCCGCUGUGUUCACUGCUCGGUGCCAGAGGACUUAUUAGUGGAUUGCCAGUUUGAGACGCUUCCCUGGAUGUUCAGGAAGGCUGAGUGCCCCGUGUUUCUCUUCAUAUAUGCAUACAUAUACAUACACCAAAUAUACUAAAGUAUUCUGCUCAUUUGUCUGUUUUAGGAAAUAAUGUCUCAUUUUUUAUUAAAAUGUGAGUGUCUCAAAGGCAGGUGCUGUCUU
rnacentral:lncRNA from 1 species